rnacentral:rRNA from 1 species
GUGGGGAAUAUUGGACAAUGGGCGCAAGCCUGAUCCAGCCAUGCCGCGUGUGUGAAGAAGGCCUUCGGGUUGUAAAGCACUUUUGUCCGGGAAGAAAUCUUCCAGGUUAAUACCCUGGGAGGCUGACGGUACCGGAAGAAUAAGCACCGGCUAACUUCGUGCCAGCAGCCGCGGUACUACGAAGGGUGCAAGCGUUACUCGGAAUUACUGGGCGUAAAGCGUGCGUAGGUGGUUCGUUAAGUCUGCCGUGAAAGCCCCGGGCUCAACCUGGGAAUGGCGGUGGAUACUGGCGGGCUAGAGUGCGGUAGAGGGUGGUGGAAUUCCCGGUGUAGCAGUGAAAUGCGUAGAGAUCGGGAGGAACAUCUGUGGCGAAGGCGGCCACCUGGACCAGCACUGACACUGAGGCACGAAAGCGUGGGGAGCAAACAGGAUUAGAAACCCUUGUAGUCC